CCUACGGGAGGCAGCAGUGAGGAAUAUUGGUCAAUGGCCGGAAGGCUGAACCAGCCAAGCCGCGUGAAGGACGAAGGUGCCAAGCAUUGUAAACUUCUUUUGUCAAGGGACAAAAUCAGGCUCGAGAGCCUGACCGAGGGUACUUGAAGAAAAAGCAUCGGCUAACACCGUGCCAGCAGCCGCGGUAAUACGGUGGAUGCGAGCGGUAUCCGGAUUGGUUGGGUUAAACGGGUGCGUAGGCGGACUGUUUAGUCAGGGGUAAAAGCCCGGGGCUCAACCCCGACGAGCCGUUGAAACUGGCUGGCUUGAGAUGUCGAGAGGUAUGCGGAAUGCGCAGUGUAGCGGUGAAAUGCUUAGAUAUUGCGCAGAACUCCGAUUGCGAAGGCAGCAUACCGGCGGCGAUCUGACGCUGAGGCACGAAAGCGUGGGUAUCGAACAGGAUUAGAUACCCCAGUAGUC
rnacentral:rRNA from 1 species